rnacentral:rRNA from 1 species
GACGAACGCUGGCGGCGUGCCUAACACAUGCAAGUCGAGCGGAGAUAAGCGGAUGGUAACUGAAGUUUGUCUUAGCGGCGGACGGGUGAGUAACACGUGGGCAACCUGCCUCAAAGAGGGGGAUAACACCGAGAAAUCGGUGCUAAUACCGCAUAACAUACAGAUACCGCAUGGUGAGUGUAUCAAAGGAGCAAUCCGCUUUGAGAUGGGGCCCGCGGCUGAUUAGCUAGUUGGUAAGGUAACGGCUUACCAAGGCGACGAUCAGUAGCCGACCUGAGAGGGUGACCGGCCACACUGGAACUGAGACACGGUCCAGACUCCUACGGGAGGCAG